rnacentral:tRNA from 1 species
AUCAGAAUGUCUGAGUGGCCUAAGGUGCCAGACUGAAGGUGUUCCACACCUUCCUGUGUCAGUUGCAUAUUCUGGUCUCCUAAUGGACGCAUGGGUUCAAAUCCCACUUCUGACA